GAUGAACGCUGGCGGCGUGCCUAAUACAUGCAAGUCGAGCGAACAGACGAGGAGCUUGCUCCUCUGACGUUAGCGGCGGACGGGUGAGUAACACGUGGAUAACCUACCUAUAAGACUGGGAUAACUUCGGGAAACCGGAGCUAAUACCGGAUAAUAUAUUGAACCGCAUGGUUCAAUAGUGAAGGACGGUUUUGCUGUCACUUAUAGAUGGAUCCGCGCCGCAUUAGCUAGUUGGUAAGGUAACAGCUUACCAAGGCAACGAUGCGUAGCCGACCUGAGAGGGUGAUCGGCCACCCUGGAACUGAGACACGGUCCAGACUCCUACGGGAGGCAGCAGUAGGGAAUCUUCCGCAAUGGGCGAAAGCCUGACGGAGCAACGCCGCGUGAGUGAUGAAGGUCUUCGGAUCGUAAAACUCUGUUAUUAGGGAAGAACAAAUGUGUAAGUAACUAUGCACGUCUUGACGGUACCUAAUCAGAAAGCCACGGCUAACUACGUG
rnacentral:rRNA from 1 species